rnacentral:rRNA from 1 species
GAUGAACGCUGGCGGCGUGCCUAAUACAUGCAAGUCGAGCGAACAGACGAGGAGCUUGCUCCUUUGACGUUAGCGGCGGACGGGUGAGUAACACGUGGUUACCUUCCCUUUAGAAUGGGGUUACCUUCGGAAAACGGGGCCUAUUCCCGGUUAAUUUUUCAACCCCCAUGUUUCAUUGGUAAAAGAUGCCUUUCUUUUCACUUUUGGAUGACCCUGCGCCGUAUUAGCUAGUUGGUAAGGUAACGGCUUACCAAGGCAACGAUACGUAGCCGACCUGAGAGGGUGAUCGGCCACACUGGAACUGAGACACGGUCCAGACUCCUACGGGAGGCAGCAGUAGGGAAUCUUCCGCAAUGGGCGAAAGCCUGACGGAGCAACGCCGCGUGAGUGAUGAAGGUCUUCGGAUCGUAAAACUCUGUUAUUAGGGAAGAACAAACGUGUAAGUAACUGUGCACGUCUUGACGGUACCUAAUCAGAAAGCCACGGCUAACUACGUG